ensembl:lncRNA
CCCACCCGCCCCGCCCCCACGGCGGCCGCUGAGCCCACCAGCUACCACUCGAUGCCCCCCCCCGCCGACCAGCAGAGCCCCUACAGCUACGGCUACGGCGAGGAGAAGAAGAAGCAGCUGACGCAGAUGGCGCCGCAGGGUGUGGCUCCGCCCCCGGGGGCGGGGCAGCAGGGCGGGGCCCCCCAGGGCCAGGCGGACUACUCCAUGUACAGCACGGCCUACCCCAGCUCGGUGACCGGGGGGCAGAACUACAACUACGGUUGGUCGGGCCAGGCAUCCUGGCAGCCCCCCCAGCAGCAGGGCUACGGGGGCGACCUCGACCAGGGGGCAGAACGCCGCCACCUACCCCGGUACGGGCACGUGAACUAUCAGUGAGCGGCUCUGAGCGCUGACCCCCCCCUGAGGAACGGCUCUAAAAGGAACCGCUCUAAAAGGAGCGCAGCCCAGUGAUGCUCGUUCCUCAAAGAGCCGGGACGCAAACCAGUCCACCACCACUUCCUGGGAGAUAAUUUUAGCUUCAGUUCCUUUUUAUGUUACGUUUUUAUUAUUUUUAACCGUGCUGUUGUUGUUUUUUUCCUUUUGUACUCCUCGUCCUUAAUGCACACGUAGGUCAGACGGUGUUACAAUGUGAAGCCUGCGUCAAAUCCCGAACAUUAGCGUUUUAACUAUUAUUUAACGACCCGUCCUCUGUCCUGUAUGUUGACAUGAAUGUAAAGUUGACUGUAAAACAUUUCUUCUUCUGUUGUCUUUUUAUAAAUGUCCUUUGUAUCUGCGCAGGCUGACCUUUGUUUCCAGGUUGUGUACUAACCUGCUCCACCGUGGUUCUGACUAAGAAUGUUUUCUCUGUUACCUGUGUCGGUUAAGUGCUGUCGUCUUGUUUUGAGAAUAAAUACUAAGAACUUUUAUUUUGAAACGUCAUCUUGUUAUUCGAGUCAUUUGAUCCCCUUGUUGGUGGUUAUAUGACGUGUGUGGGAUUGUGUGUUUUGGGUUGUUACUCACAUGAGCUCUUUCGAUAUUCGAUUUGGGUACAAAUCUCAGAAUACGGCACAUUUAAAUAAACUUGAGAAAUUGGGCUUGAGUUUGAAAGGUGAACGGUGGGUACUGACUUUAAAUCCAAAGUUAUGAAAAUGUUCGCCUGAU